CUAACAAACAAAAGAAAAUAUAGAAAGUUACAUUCAAAAGAUGAAAAGAAGCCAAGCCUUUUGAUGGAUGUAAUGAUGAUGAGAAAUUGUAGGCAAGGUUGUGAAGAUGAAAAAAACAUGUUUUUAGAUUUUUCUUGUAUCAUAUGUGAAUUAUAUAAAAAAAAAAUUUGAAAUUUAAUAUAUCCAAGGAUUGGCUUGCAAAAAUUUGCAAUUGAUUUGUUAGGAUUAAAAACCUUGAAAAGAUGUGUCUAAUAAAAUGGAUUGAUGAAGUGUAAGGUUAUACAAUGCAUGAUCAAUCAUGAAACAUGGAUUGAGCAAUUGUAAUACAAAAGCCAAGUAUAAGGCAAAUAUGGAAGAAAGAAAAAAGUCUAUAAGUUUUACUACAAGGGAAGGUAAGUAGUUUAAUUUAAUGUAUAAGAUUUACACAUUUUUAAGAAUACAAUAGAAGUAAUUAGAUAUGAUAUAAAAAAAUAAUUAAUUAUUUUUAACUUAUUUGAUUAACAAUGUAGUUGUAAUUAUAUAUAUGACAAUUGUUAGACCAAAAUAUAUGGUUUUACAGAAUUAUACAAUUGUAGAAGGCCUAGUAUUAUUUGACAUUAGAAGAUUGGAGUUUUAUCAAUAUUAAAAGAAAGACUAUGCACAUUAUUUUAGAAAAAUAAGAAAUAACUUUAAAAAAUUAAGGUUGUUGGAUUUGAUAAAGAAUGAUUUAGAAGUUGUGAACCACUUCAUUUAUUCCAAUUUUAAUAUCUUAAUUUGGCUUUUUCUUACUGAGAUAAAGAUUACA
rnacentral:lncRNA from 1 species